rnacentral:rRNA from 1 species
UACGUAGGGGGCAAGCGUUAUCCGGAUUUACUGGGUGUAAAGGGAGCGUAGACGGCUAAUCAAGUCAGAAGUGAAAACCCAGGGCUCAACUUUGGGACUGCUUUUGAAACUGAGUAGCUAGAGUGCAGGAGAGGUAAGCGGAAUUCCUAGUGUAGCGGUGAAAUGCGUAGAUAUUAGGAGGAACACCAGUGGCGAAGGCGGCUCUCUGGUCUGCAACUGACGCUGAGGCUCGAAAGCAUGGGUAGCGAACAGG